GAGGGUAUAGCUCAGUGGUAGAGUGCCUGCUUAGCAUGCACAAGGUCCUGGGUUCAAUCCCAGUACCUCCA
rnacentral:tRNA from 1 species